rnacentral:tRNA from 1 species
GAGGCGUUACGCCAGACUGUAAAUCUGGUACACACGAAACACAGAAGAUUCGAAUUCUUCACGCCCUA